GCGAGUGAAGCGGCAAAAGCUCCACUUUGAAAGCGUUUCGGCGCGUUGUAGUGUGGUUCAGUCUUUGAGUCUAGGAGAACUAAGUCCUUUGGAACAAGGCGCCAUAGAGGGUGAGAGCCCCGUGAGUUCUCUUAUGGAUUCUUCAAGUCUGUACCGAAGAGUCGAGUUGUUUGGGAAUGCAGCUCUAAGUGGGUGGUAAAUUCCAUCUAAGGCUAAAUAUUGGCGAGAGACCGAUAGCGAACAAGUACAGUGAUGGAAAGAUGAAAAGCACUUUGAAAAGAGAGUGAAACAGUACGUGAAAUUGUUGAAAGGGAAGGGUAUUUGGCUCGACAUGGGUCCUGUGCACCGUUGCCUCUUGUAGGCGGCGCUCUGCUGGGGCCUGGGCCAGCAUCAGUUUUCUGGCGGGGAUAAGGCUCAGUGAACUACAAUGUAGGGAUCGGGGCGAUGCCCGCACGGGGGACUGAGGACUGCCGUUUUUGUAGGAUGCUGGCAUAACGGCCAAAUACCGCCC
rnacentral:rRNA from 1 species